UUAAGCUUUAAAAGGUUUAAAGGUUUGACCCAGAUGUAUUGUGGGAAAUUAAUGCGAGCGUUCACGCUCCGACAGAUUCUCUCAAGCCCGCACUUAGGAUAUAAAUGCAGAGAUGCUCUGCACCUUGCAAUCUACAACAGGCGAGCUGGAUUCACCUGAGCACUGGGGGUUUGUGUCGCGGCAACCAGGCGACGGAGCUCCAUGACUGGCAGGAAAUGGAAAUGAAGGCUGGGCUACCUUCCCAUGGCUCAGUAUGUCAAGUUUGUUUAAUUAGUUCAUGUCAGCACUAGGGCAGAGCAGGAAUUCCCCUGCUUAUUUUUUUUUGAGUGCUUCAUCCCUUUUCAUGAGUGGAAUCCUUCUGCUUGGAGUGAAUUUUAAUCAAGAUAUUUUUAGUCAGCCACCUUUCCAUGACUACGCCAUGCCAAGUGUGAGCUCCCACAACUGAGUUCUAAGGAUUGAGCCAGUUUGCGGCACUCAGGAAGCAAUCUGGCCUCCUGAACUGUAAUUCGGGAUGGUCGACCUUAUCCUGUGCGUGACCAAGAAGCUUCAACAUAACAGACAUGCAACAAGACGGGCCAGGAAAAAACGAGGUUAUGCAAAGCAGUUACCAGCUAAUUUCCUGCUACAUUGGCUGCGGAUUCCGAGGUAUCCAUCCGUCUACUGUGUCCUCCUCAAGAUUCAAAUCGCUCUGCGUAGCCUGGAGUCCUGGAUGGGCUCCCUUCACCUUUUCUUGCUUUUAUAUUGUCUUUCCAUGACCAUGCCGUCUGUUGCCUUGUUAUUUAUACCUUCUUAUACUCCAUUGGCACGCGGUUUUAUAGGGGUAACAGUGUGACCAUGUGUUUCAAAUGUUACUAUGUGCACUUAAACACAAAGCAUCAGGGAAUUGUUCCGGCCUUAAUUUAAAAAACAUUAUCCUACAUUUCAUUUUUCAUUACCAUGUGUAAUACUGUUCCUUGCACAUCCCACUGGAUACUUUACAUACCUGACCACAUAAAUAUUUACCACCCAAUAUCGCACAUUUGCAUUUCCAUUUACUCAUUGUUUUCUCCCAAAAGUGAAAACAUUCAGGUCAUUAGAUAAAGUGACUAGCGCUUCAAAGGCCCUCAAAUCAGUUAGGGUUGGGUCAUUCAGGUCCAGAGUUAUAGUCCAAACUGGGAUUUUGUUUCAACCAACCAGUUGAGUACUCUAUGAUUGUGGCUCAUUAUGCUCCGCUGGUUAGUAAACACCCCAGUAGGAUAAGCGGUUUGGAAAAUGGAUGGAUGGUUAGUAAACAAAAUCUUGGUCUCAACUUUUACUCUCUGGACCUGAAUUACCCAACUCUACUUAUGGUAUACAUGUGCUUUUUGGGUUCAUAUAUAACAUGGACUCAAGAAAACUAUGGAACUGGCUGUCGCUCAAUUUUAUUGUGAAAACAGCAGUCAGUCAAACACAUUCAGGUUACAUUUGGUAGCUUUGGACACUGCAGAACAUAUAUCAACUUAAUGGCAAUUUGCUAAGUGCAGUCAAGCUCAGAGAUGAUUCUCUGCAAGGCUUCUGGGGGGUUUCUGAAGGGAACAAGCACUCAUGAUCUCACUGUGAAGGCCAAUAUGAAGGAGCCGAAGAUGAUUAAAAGAUACCACACUGUUUACUAGUAGCAUUACUUCUUGAUAUGUGUCAACAAACAGGUAAUACAAUAGACAUUACAAUAUGCAUUCAUUAACUGCAUUGUUGCUAAUGCUGGUUUCUAGCUGUUUGUAUAU